rnacentral:rRNA from 1 species
UACAGAGGUCUCAAGCGUUGUUCGGAUUUAUUGGGCGUAAAGGGUGCGUAGGCGGCGCGGUAAGUCGGGUGUGAAAUUUCGGAGCUUAACUCCGAAACUGCAUUCGAUACUGGCGUGCUUGAGGACUGGAGAGGAGACUGGAAUUCAUGGUGUAGCAGUGAAAUGCGUAGAGAUCAUGAGGAAGACCAGUGGCGAAGGCGGGUCUCUGGACAGUUCCUGACACUGAGACACGAAGGCCAGGGGAGCAAACGGG